GUCCCUCUGGAGCUCUGAGUCAACGCCGAAGCUCCGGUGGCUCAUGUGGCAUGACCACGUGGGAUUAAUGAGGCCAGGUGGAUUUUUUUAUUUAUUUUUCAUUUAAAUUAUAAUAUAAAUCUUAAUUUAUAAAACAGAUAUUAAUUAAUCAUCCAAGGAUUUCUUUUAUUCUUUAUCUUAAUUUUCUAAAGCUUCAUCACCGUUCACCAUCACCAACAUCUUCUUCUCCCCCAUGAAACUCUGAAACCACAAACUUCUCAUAACCUUUUCUUCAACACCCUCCAUCAAAAUCCAAAGCUCCAUUCUCAACCCCAUCAAAAUUCUAACCUGAACCUCUAACUUUCUCUCGUCCAGUCAGCACAGGAAAGCAUCACGAGAAAUUGAAUAUGUUUCCUCCAGAAGCUCCAACAGCGAGCACUCUCCAGAUCGAAGAUGGUUCCUUCGGAGACCAGAUCGACGACGAUUCCUUCCUCCAGAUCUACAACUCACUAAAACCCCCUCACCCUCACUAAAAAAUUCAAACAGAUCUUGAAAAAUAUGGGCCUCUCAUGGUAUCAAGGUGGUUCCUUUGAUGGAUUUAUGCAAUUCAUAGCCUUCACGUGAGAAAGAAUUGUCGCUCCAUCAUAUCUCGUCGUCGCCGGCGCCAGAUGCAGAAGGAGGAGAAAAGGUUAAGGGAUCUGGGGAAUUGAGAUCUCGCCGCCGCCGCUCCAGAUCUCGUCAUUUUCCCCAAAGGUCGUGGUGGUACUUUGAUAUGUCUAUGAAGAAGGUGGUAGGAUUCAAAUUGGAGGAUUCAAAGGUUGUGCACCUUUGUUGAUGGAUAAUCAAUUGAUUAUAAAAACAAAGCAAACACAACAAAAAUUUGGAAAAUUUCUGGGUAACCUUGUUCAGUUCAGUGUUUCUUGUUUCAAUCUGUGUUCAAUUAGGUGAGUGGGUUUGUGUAGGUAUGUGAAAGGGAAGAUGAAGAAAAGAAGGAAGAGAUGGAUGAAGAACAAAAUCUGGGUUUUUGAUGAAAGAUGUGGACAUGAAGAGAUUUAUAAUUAAUAAUUAGGUGAGGGAUUAAAUUAGUAAAUUAGGUUUUAAUUACAGAGGUUAAUUUCCUUUUUUUAAGAAUUUAAAUGAAAAAUAAAUAAAAAAAUCCACAUGGCCUCAUUAAUCCCACGUGGUCAUGCCACAUGAGCCACUGGAGCUCCGGCGUUGACCCAGAGCUCCGGAGGGACCAAAACCAAACAUUUUGACAAAGGUUAGGGACUAAUACCCACCUUUACUCCGGCGAGGGACGAAAACCAAGUAUUUACUAAAGGUCAGGGACCAAAAACUUAUUUAAGCCUUAAUUCUUCUAAUCUUUGUUGAUCUUUGAUGUGCUUUUAUAACCAUUAUAUAUUGAAAAUUAAUGGAAGGUAUUCCAACCAAGUGUCUUUGCCUUCUCAGUGCAAUCCAUCUAUAAGCUAACAGUGAUCAGGAUCGAUAUGGAGAAAGAAGGGAAUGAAGAUGAAGAUGUAACGAAGUGCACUUAUUUUUGCAAACUAUGCUACUCGCUUCUUGUUACCUGAUUCGAAGAGAGAUCGAUGCAGGAAAAGAAGGCAAGUCAUGAUGGCAAAGGGAAGGUAACGCCUUUCUUCCAGAUUCAAUUCAUCGAGCUGCUCGUGAAGUCGGUCAUUCACAUGGUGCAUGUUACCCAGUUUGUUCUUUAGUCUCAAAUAAGUACUGCUACAGUAUGUGUUAUUGUUGAAUGCUUGUGAUUGUCUAUGUUAUGUUUCUUUUAACACACAUGGUUCAUGUAAUUUUAAAUCUUUGACAGAGACUUCCAUAAAUUUCUAAAGCAACCUACAAAUUUCAAAAUCAAA